rnacentral:rRNA from 1 species
AUUGAACGCUGGCGGCAUGCCUUACACAUGCAAGUCGAACGGCAGCGGGGGAGAAGCUUGCUUUCCCUGCCGGCGAGUGGCGAACGGGUGAGUAACACGUGGACAACCUGCCUCAAGGCUGGGAAUAACAUUUGGAAACAGAUGCUAAUACCGAAUAAAACUCAGUGUCGCAUGACACAAAGUUAAAAGGCGCUUUGGCGUCACCUAGAGAUGGAUCCGCGGUGCAUUAGUUAGUUGGUGGGGUAAAGGCCUACCAAGACAAUGAUGCAUAGCCAGGUUGAGAGACUGAUCGGCCACAUUGGGACUGAGACACGGCCCAAACUCGUACGGGGGGCUGCAGUAGGGAAUCUUCCACAAUGGUCGAAAGCCUGAUGGAGCGACGCCGCGUGUGUGAUGAAGGCUUUCGGGUCGUAAAGCACUGUUGUAUGGGAAGAACAGCUAGAAUAGGGAAUGAUUUUAGUUUGACGGUACCAUACCAGAAAGGGACGGCUAAAUACGUGCCAGCAGCCGCAGUAA